CCUCCCGACGAUGGGUCAGCCAUCUCCUCCGCAGCUGGGGCCUCCGACUCUGGCGGAAUGAUGCUGCCGAGGUCGAGCUCUGGGUACAAGCUCCGGACGGCCUCCUGAGCAUCCUCGUACCCCACUCGGUACGAGAGGAAGCCGCUCUCCAGAAGUUCCUCCCGGUACUCUUCAGAGUCCCGGAAGUCUUCUACAGCCCGACCCAUGGCCUCCUUCGCCGACUCC
rnacentral:lncRNA from 1 species